rnacentral:rRNA from 1 species
GUGGGGAAUAUUGCACAAUGGGGGAAACCCUGAUGCAGCGACGCCGCGUGAGUGAAGAAGUAUUUCGGUACGUAAAGCUCUAUCAGCAAGGAAGAAAAUGACGGUACUUGACUAAGAAGCCCCGGCUAACUACGUGCCAGCAGCCGCGGUAAUACGUAGGGGGCAAGCGUUAUCCGGAUUUACUGGGUGUAAAGGGAGCGUAGACGGUAUGGUAAGUCAGAUGUGAAAGCCCGGGGCUCAACCCCGGGACUGCAUUUGAAACUAUCAGACUAGAGUGCAGGAGAGGUAUGUGGAAUUCCUAGUGUAGCGGUGAAAAUCGUAGAUAUUAGGAGGAACACCAGUGGCGAAGGCGGCUUACUGGACUGUAACUGAAGUUGAGGCUCGAAAGCGUGGGGAGCAAACAGGAUUAGAAACCCUGGUAGUCC